rnacentral:rRNA from 1 species
AGGACGAACGCUGGCGGCGUGCCUAACACAUGCAAGUCGAACGGAAUACAAGGGAGCUUGCUCCUGAACUAUUUAGUGGCGAACGGGUGAGUAUCACGUGAGCAACCUGCCCCGAAGAUUGGGAUAACACCGGGAAACCGGUGCUAAUACCGAAUACCCCUCACACAUCGCAUGAUGAGUGAAGGAAAUGUUUUUUCGCUUCGGGAGGGGCUCGCGGUCCAUCAGCUUGUUGGCGGGGUAACGGCCCACCAAGGCUACGACGGAUAGCUGGUCUGAGAGGACGAUCAGCCACACUGGAACUGAGACACGGUCCAGACUCCUACGGGAGGCAGCAGUGGGGAAUCUUGCGCAAUGGACGAAAGUCUGACGCAGCAACGCCGCGUGGGGGACGAAGGCUUUCUGAGUUGUAAACCUCUUUCGACAGGAACGAUUGUGACGGUACCUGUAGAAGAAGCACCGGCCAACUAUGCGCCAGCAGCCGCGGU